CCUACGGGCGGCAGCAGUGGGGAAUAUUGCACAAUGGGGGAAACCCUGAUGCAGCGACGCCGCGUGAAGGAAGAAGUAUUUCGGUAUUUAAACUUCUAUCUGCCGGGAAGCAAAUGACGGUACCUGCCUAAGAAGCCCCGGCUAACUACGUGCCAGCAGCCGCGGUAAUACGUAGGGGGCAUGCGUUAUCCGGCUUUCCUGGGGGUAAAGGGGGCGUAGGCGGUGAUGCAAGUCAGAAGUGAAAGCCCCCAGCUCAACUGCGGGACUGCUUUUGAAACUGUAUGACUAGAUUGCAGGAGAGGUAAGUGGAAUGCGUGGUGUAGCGGUGAAAUGCGUAGAUAUUAGGAGGAACACCAGUGGCGAAGGCGGCUUACUGGACUGUAAAUGACGCUGAGGCUCGAAAGCGUGGGGAGCAAACAGGAUUAGAUACCCCUGUAGUC
rnacentral:rRNA from 1 species